ACCAGGGGAAGCAGCAAACUUUUGAUUUCUCUCCUAAAGACUGCAAGCAAGCAAUUAGAUAUAUAAAUCAAUCAAUCAACAAAAAAACAAGGGGGAAAGGGCAAGCUACAUUUGUUAGGACUAGUAUUUUCUAGGGUUUGAUUUCUGGCUGGCUAGAAGUUUGUGUUUUUGACAGGGCAGUUUGUUGGUUUAGGGGGCUUGCUCCAGGUGAGUCACACAGCUUGAGGGAGGGGCCACAUUCCUCAGGUGGCUCAGUCUGGAAGCAGCUCUUGAGGACAAAAGGCUCAGAACAGAGUAAGUUUGCUUCCUGGAAAUUGGUGAACAGGGGUUUGCAACAAGGUAUCAAAUUAGUUUUGCAUUGAGUUUAGCGGGGAAAUGUGUAGGGACGCACAGAAGCAGUCUCCAUUUUUCAUACAGGAGACAUCCAGCACAAGGAGAAGAGGAGCUAUGAGGAGCACCGUCCAGUCACGUGUUAGUACUUUUGACCUGAGGAUUGCCACCCCAAGCUGCUUGUGCCAAGCGACAGACUUGAGAGUUUGCCAUAUACGGGCAGUUGAAGAGAAGUCAUGCUCCCAUUACUCAUGGACCAUGAGCUCCAACCAAGAUGGAGUCUGCAAGCCUGCAGAUACAAGAUACAUAGUGGGGUGCUUCUUGUAGCCCCCAAACAGAUUGUUUUAUUAACAGCACACACCAACGCCAGUGAUUCCAAGAGCAUGUGGUGACAAUUAAGAAGACAAUCUACCUGAAGGAGAUUGCCCUUAUGAACCUGUCUGCACCUUUGCCCAUAUGAACCUGCCUGCACACUUUACUCUUUAGAGGGGGUCCAACUAUAUGUUUCACCACCUUCUGUAGUGCAGUUGGGCAUGGCAACAAGGGCUUCAGACCAAAGCUGUGGAAGCACUUGAUAACUGAGAUUGGGCUAGCUCUUUUCUUGAUUUAGACAUCAGCAGGAAUAUUUUUCUCUUCAAAAACAUUUUUCAUGAAUGUAUUUUUGACUGAAUAUCUGUUAUGAUUGCUGCUGUUCUUUUUUUUAAAAAAACCACAUUCAUUAUUUUAAUGAUCAUUUGUGGUUUAUUGUUGAGAUUGUGAGCAGCUGAUGAUUCAGUUGUGGGACUGAAAGGCAAAUGUUAAAAAAAAAAUCUGGGGGUUUUUAGGAGUGAGGAAGAAAGAUGGCUGAUUUCAAAUAUCACCAUGUGUCUUAAUACCCUGCACAUUAGAUAAUGUAAUUAGCACUCAGUUUCUGAGCACUGACAUUUUGUAUAAUUACAUUUACGCAAAUAAAUUUCACUUGUAUAGUUUUGA